rnacentral:rRNA from 1 species
CUGGCGGCAGGCCUAACACAUGCAAGUCGAGCGGUAGAGAGAAGCUUGCUUCUCUUGAGAGCGGCGGACGGGUGAGUAAUGCCUAGGAAUCUGCCUGGUAGUGGGGGAUAACGUUCGGAAACGGACGCUAAUACCGCAUACGUCCUACGGGAGAAAGCAGGGGACCUUCGGGCCUUGCGCUAUCAGAUGAGCCUAGGUCGGAUUAGCUAGUUGGUGAGGUAAUGGCUCACCAAGGCGACGAUCCAUAACUGGUCUGGGAGGAUGAUCAGUCACACUGGAACUGAGACACGGUCCAGACUCCUACGGGAGGCAGCAGUGGGGAAUAUUGGACAAUGGGCGAAAGCCUGAUCCAGCCAUGCCGCGUGUGUGAAGAAGGUCUUCGGAUUGUAAAGCACUUUAAGUUGGGAGGAAGGGUUGUAGAUUAAUACUCUGCAAUUUUGACGUUACCGACAGAAUAAGCACCGGCUAACUCUGUGCCAGCAGCCGCGGUAAUACAGAGGGUGCAAGCGUUAAUCGGAAUUACUGGGCGUAAAGCGCGCGUAGGUGGUUUGUUAAGUUGGAUGUGAAAUCCCCGGGCUCAACCUGGGAACUGCAUUCAAAACUGACUGACUAGAGUAUGGUAGAGGGUGGUGGAAUUUCCUGUGUAGCGGUGAAAUGCGUAGAUAUAGGAAGGAACACCAGUGGCGAAGGCGACCACCUGGACUAAUACUGACACUGAGGUGCGAAAGCGUG